rnacentral:misc_RNA from 1 species
GAUUAAAUUUUGUUUACUUUGUCGAUAACAUUUAUCAACUGAAUUAAAUAACAUAGUUGUAUGUUUACCCUGAAACUAUUUGGUGUACUAAACAUCAAAACUUUCUACCAAGGAGAACUACUGCUUCAACUUUAAUUUUAUAUAUACUGAACAUGAACUUUCUAUGAGGUGUUGAAUAUUAUAUGCAUAUAAACAUGUUUAAAAAAUAAAUACAGGUUAUAAAGUGUUUUUUCCACCUAAUCUUAUAUGGUAAUUGGUUUAAUUUUUAUGCCAAUGAGAUUAAAAAUUAUGUACAAGUAUUGAUGUAUGUACAUGUAUUUUAAGAUGCUAGAUGACCUUUAAAAGGUCAAAGGUAAAGUUGCAUUCAUCAAAAGGUCAAAUUGAUCAAUGUCUGUAGGUUACUAUUCAGUGAUAUAGAAGUAAACAAUCUUAUUCUCUGUAUAAACAACAAUGUAGGCAGUAUUAAACUUAACAUGUUUU